rnacentral:rRNA from 1 species
CAGCCGCCCGGGAAUACGAAGGGGGCUAGCGUUGUUCGGAAUCACUGGGCGUAAAGGGUGCGUAGGCGGAUUCUUAAGUCAGGGGUGAAAUCCCGAGGCUCAACCUCGGAACUGCCUUUGAUACUGGGGAUCUUGAGUCCGGAAGAGGUGAGUGGAACUGCGAGUGUAGAGGUGAAAUUCGUAGAUAUUCGCAAGAACACCGGUGGCGAAGGCGGCUCACUGGUCCGGAACUGACGCUGAGGCACGACAGCGUGGGGAGCAAACAGGAUUAGAGACCCCAGUAGUCCCUGUCUCUUAUACA